CACAGCUAUGUUGGGACAAUUUGCCGGAUUUCUUGCUGGAAAUGAGAAAGUUCCAAAGGGAGAAGCAUCAGGAUGUUCUCACCAUGAAGAUGAUUGGUGAAGGGGUCUUCAUAAAUGGACUUUACUACCUAUGCAAGAAUGCAUGUUUCACUCAGGCUCUUCAAGCUCAAUCGAAGUCCAUAGAUGAAAACCAACUUUGGCAUAGGAGAUUAGCUCACCCCUCUGAACUUGUCUUGUCGAAACUGUUUCCAAAUUUUUGUAACCCCUAUCCUACUUGUGAUACUUGUCAAUUUUCUAAGUUUACUAGGCUACCUUUUGGUAAUUCAAUGUCUAGGACAAGUAAACCUUUUGAAAUGGUACACACCGAUGUAUGGGGACCUGCAACUGAAUCAAUGGAAGGUUUUAAAUAUUUUGUUCUA